rnacentral:rRNA from 1 species
AUUGAACGCUGGCGGCAUGCCUUACACAUGCAAGUCGAACGGCAGCACGGACUUCGGUCUGGUUGCGAGUGGCGAACGGGUGAGUAAUGUAUCGGAACGUACCUUUCAGUGGGGGAUAACGUAGCGAAAGUUACGCUAAUACCGCAUAUUCUGUGAGCAGGAAAGCAGGGGAUCGAAAGACCUUGCGCUGAUUGAGCGGCCGAUAUCAGAUUAGCUAGUUGGUGGGGUAAAGGCCUACCAAGGCGACGAUCUGUAGCGGGUCUGAGAGGAUGAUCCGCCACACUGGAACUGAGACACGGUCCAGACUCCUACGGGAGGCAGCAGUGGGGAAUUUUGGACAAUGGGGGCAACCCUGAUCCAGCCAUGCCGCGUGAGUGAAGAAGGCCUUCGGGUUGUAAAGCUCUUUCGGCCGGGAAGAAAUCGCAUAGGCUAAUACCCUGUGUGGAUGACGGUACCGGAAUAAGAAGCACCGGCUAACUACGUG